rnacentral:rRNA from 1 species
GACAGAGGGUGCAAACGUUGUCCGGAAUUACUGGGCGUAAAGCGCGUGUAGGCGGCCCUGCAAGUCGGGUGUGAAAUCCCACGGCUCAACCGUGGAAGUGCACUCGAAACUGCAGGGCUAGAGUCCUGGAGAGGAAGGUGGAAUGCUUGGUGUAGAGGUGAAAUGCGCAGAUAUCAGGAAGAACACCCGUGGCGAAGGCGGCUCUCUGGGACGGUACUGACGCUGAGACGCGAAAGCGUGGGGAGCGAACAGG